AUUGAACGCUGGCGGCAGGCUUAACACAUGCAAGUCGAGCGGAGCGGCGGAGGGGUGAGUAAUGCCUAGGAAUCUGCCUGUUAGUGGGGGAUAACGUCCGGAACCGGGCGCUAAUACCACAUCCUAUCAGAUGAGCCUAGGUGGGAUUAGCUAGUUGGUGGGGUAAAGGCCUACCAAGGCGACGAUCCGUAUCUGGUCUGAGAGGAUGAUCAGCCACACUGGAACUGAGACACGGUCCAGACGCCUACGGGAGGCAGCAGUGGGGAAUAUUGGACAAUGGGCGAAAGCCUGAUCCAGCCAUGCCGCGUGUGUGAAGAAGGUCUUCGGAUUGUAAAGCACUUUAAGUUGGGAGGCGUUACCAACAGAAUAAGCACCGGCUAACUUCGUGCCAGCAGCCGCGGUAAUAC
rnacentral:rRNA from 1 species